rnacentral:rRNA from 1 species
AGUUCGGAUUGUAGUCUGCAACCCGACUACAUGAAGCUGGAAUCGCUAGUAAUCGCGAAUCAGCAUGUCGCGGUGAAUACGUUCCCGGGUCUUGUACACACCGCCCGUCACACCAUGGGAGUUGGUAACGCCCGAAGUCAGUGACCUAACCGCAAGGGAGGAGCUGCCGAAGGUGGGGCCAGUAACUGGGGUGAAGUCGUAACAAGGUAAC